UGGGGAAUAUUGGACAAUGGGCGCAAGCCUGAUCCAGCAAUGCCGCGUGUGUGAAGAAGGCCUUCGGGUUGUAAAGCACUUUUAUCAGGAACGAAAAGCGUUGGAUUAAUACUCUGACGUGCUGACGGUACCUGAGGAAUAAGCACCGGCUAACUUCGUGCCAGCAGCCGCGGUAAUACGAAGGGUGCAAGCGUUAAUCGGAAUUACUGGGCGUAAAGCGUGCGUAGAUGGUUCGCUAAGUCGGAUGUGAAAGCCCCGGGCUCAACCUGGGAACUGCAUCCGAUACUGGCGGACUAGAGUGUGAUAGAGGAUGGCGGAAUUCCCGGUGUAGCGGUGAAAUGCGUAGAGAUCGGGAGGAACAUCCGUGGCGAAGGCGGCCAUCUGGAUCAACACUGACGUU
rnacentral:rRNA from 1 species